GUGUCAGGAGUGAGUGUCUCUGUGUGUAUUAGUCAGUAGAUGUCAGGAGUGAGUGUCUCUGUGUGUAUCAGUCAGAAGGUGUCAGGAGUGAGUGUCUCUGUGUGUAUCAGUCAGUAGGUGUCAGGAGUGAGUGUCUCUGUGUGUAUCAGUCAGUAGGUGUCAGGAGUGAGUGUCUCUGUGUGUAUUAGUCAGUAGAUGUCAGGAGUGAGUGUCUCUGUGUGUAUUAGUCAGUAGGUGUCAGGAGUGAGUGUCUCUGUGUGUAUCAGUCAGUAGGUGUCAGGAGUGAGUGUCUCUGUGUGUAUCAGUCAGUAGGUGUCAGGAGUGAGUGUCUCUGUGUGUAUUAGUCAGUAGAUGUCAGGAGUGAGUGUCUCUGUGUGUAUUAGUCAGUAGGUGUCAGGAGUGAGUGUCUCUGUGUGUAUCAGUCAGUAGGUGUCAGGAGUGAGUGUCUCUGUGUGUAUCAGUCAGUAGGUGUCAGGAGUGAGUGUCUCUGUGUGUAUUAGUCAGUAGGUGUCAGGAGUGAGUGUCUCUGUGUGUAUCAGUCAGAAGGUGUCAGGAGUGAGUGUCUCUGUGUGUAUCAGUCAGUAGGUGUCAGGAGUGAGUGUCUCUGUGUGUAUCAGUCAGUAGAUGUCAGGAGUGAGUGUCUCUGUGUGUAUUAGUCAGAAGGUGUCAGGAGUGAGUGUCUCUGUGUGUAUUAGUCAGUAGGUGUCAGGAGUGAGUGUCUCUGUGUGUAUUAGUCAGUAGAUGUCAGGAGUGAGUGUCUCUGUGUGUAUCAGUCAGAAGGUGUCAGGAGUGAGUGUCUCUGUGUGUAUCAGUCAGUAGGUGUCAGGAGUGAGUGUCUCUGUGUGUAUCAGUCAGUAGGUGUCAGGAGUGAGUGUCUCUGUGUGUAUUAGUCAGUAGGUGUCAGGAGUGAGUGUCUCUGUGUGUAUCAGUCAGUAGGUGUCAGGAGUGAGUGUCUCUGUGUGUAUUAGUCAGUAGGUGUCAGGAGUGAGUGUCUCUGUGUGUAUUAGUAAGUAGGUGUUUGUGUGUAACUUCAUGCUCAAACUUCCUCCAUGCAGCAUUAGAUGUAAUUGAUAAAUGUACACUGAGUGUACAAAACAUUAUGAACACCUGCUCUUUCCAUGACAUAGAAUGACCAGAUUAAUCUACGUGAAUGCUAUGAACCCUGCCCUCCCCCCCUUCCCCGCCCCCCUCCCUGCUAUCUAACUCGGAAGAAUCUUUCUGAGCCCUCUCCCACUGGGACCA